rnacentral:tRNA from 1 species
GCCUCUGUAGCUUAAAAUGAAUAAAGCAUUGGUCUUGUAAACCAAAAAUGGGCUAUAACUGCCCCAGAGACA